rnacentral:rRNA from 1 species
GUGGGGGAUAUUGCACAAUGGGGGAAACCCUGAUGCAGCGACGCCGCGUGGAGGAAGAAGGUUUUCGGAUUGUAAACUCCUGUCGUUAGGGACGAUAAUGACGGUACCUAACAAGAAAGCACCGGCUAACUACGUGCCAGCAGCCGCGGUAAAACGUAGGGUGCAAGCGUUGUCCGGAAUUACUGGGUGUAAAGGGAGCGCAGGCGGGAAGACAAGUUGGAAGUGAAAACCAUGGGCUCAACCCAUGAAUUGCUUUCAAAACUGUUUUUCUUGAGUAGUGCAGAGGUAGAUGGAAUUCCCGGUGUAGCGGUGGAAUGCGUAGAUAUCGGGAGGAACACCAGUGGCGAAGGCGGUCUACUGGGCACCAACUGACGCUGAGGCUCGAAAGCAUGGGUAGCAA